rnacentral:sRNA from 1 species
UGAAAUCCUGAGGCUAAGUCCAAAGUGGA